AUUGAACGCUGGCGGCAUGCCUAACACAUGCAAGUCGAACGGUAACAGGAAGAUGCUUGCUUCUUUGCUGACGACUGGCGGACGGGUGAGGAAUGUCUGGGAAACUGCCUGAUGGAGGGGGAUAACUACUGGCAACGGUAGCUAAUACCGCAUAACGUCGCAAGACCAAAGAGGGGGACCUUCGGGCCUCUUGCCAUCGGAUGUGCCCAGAUGGGGUUAGCUAGUAGGUGGGGUAACGGCUCACCUAGGCGACGAUCCCUAGCUGUUCUGAGAGGAUGACCGUCGACACUGGAACUGAGACAGGGUCCAGACGCCUACGGGAGGCAGCAGUGGCGGAUGGUGCACAAUAGGCGCAAGCCUGAUGCAGCCGUGGCGCGUGUAUGAAGAAGGCCUUCGGUUUGGAAAGUACUUUCAGCGGGGAGGAAGGGAGUAAAGUUAAUACCUAUGCUCAGUGACGUUACCCGCAGAAGAAGCACCGGCUAACUCCGUG
rnacentral:rRNA from 1 species